AUUAUGAUCGAUAUAGUAUAGUGACAAAUAGUACAACAUUUAUAACAUAAAAUAAUGUAUUUCUAAAGAAAAUGUGGUUUUGUUUUUCAUAGUGAUUUCCUUAAGAUUUUUUUUAAGUUUAUGUAAAUUUACUCAUACUGAAAAUUAUUAAAUUCGUAAUUUGAAUACGAAAUUAUAGUAUAUUUCAAGCAUGUAAACUAAAAAUUAGAAAUUGAUCAUUAAAAGUUAACCUUAUUUUUAUUACCAACGGUUUUUUGUAAAAUUGAUAUAUUUUUGUUUUUUAAUUAAUAUGAAUGAAUAUAUGACAAUAGAAAAAUCAAAUGUAUUGAACUAUUAUGUUAUCAAUGGUGUUUGAUAUUGAUGGAGUAUUUAUCAGAUAGAACAAAUUUUUAGAUAAAAAGAUAAUUUUCGUGAAAAGAAAUUACAAUUUUAUAUGUAAAAUAUUAAAAUCUAAAAAAUGAGUUCUCAUCAUGAAUUGAACAUAUCAAUUGAACAUCCAAUUUCUGGUGAUAUAGAUCAUAUUAAAACACUUUCUGAAGAUAUUGGUGCUCUUUAUCUUUCAGAUGAUUAUUCAGAUGUGACUUUAAUUGUUGGUGGACAAAGAUUCAAUAGUCACAAAAUUAUUUUAGCUGCACGUAGCCAAUAUUUCAGAGCUCUUCUGUUUGGUGGUUUAAAAGAAUCCACACAACAUGAAAUUGAAUUAAAAGAUGCUAAUCUAACUGGAUUUAAAGGUUUACUUGAAUACAUAUAUACAGGACGAAUGUCUCUUACAGACCGACGUGAAGAGGUUGUAUUGGAUAUUCUUGGAUUAGCACAUCUUUAUGGAUUUUCAGAAUUAGAAACGUCUAUAUCAGAUUAUCUUAAAGAAAUAUUGAAUAUAAAAAAUGUUUGUCUCAUAUUUGGUGCAGCACUUCUUUAUCGAUUAGAAUUUCUUACUAAGGUUUGUCAUGAAUACAUGGAUGAACAUGCAUGUGAAGUAAUUCAGCAUGAGAGUUUUUUACAAUUAAGUGCUGAUGCUUUGAAUGAAUUAGUAUCAAGAGAUUCUUUUUAUGCGCCAGAAAUUGAUAUCUUUUUAGCUGUAAGAGCAUGGGUGAAUGCAAAUCCUGAUACUGAUGGCAAAAAUGUUUUAGGUGAAUAUAAAAAUAAGGUACGAUUAAACUUAGUUUCAAUCACGGAUCUUUUAAAUGUUGUUCGGCCAACUGGAUUAAUUUCUCCAGAAGCAAUCUUAGAUGCAAUAGCUGCAAGAACACAAACACGUGAUUCAGAUCUUAAUUAUCGUGGUCGGUUACUUAUUGAUGUGAAUGUUGCCCAUCCUAUGCAUGGUGCUCAAGUUCUACAGGGUGAAAUGCGAAGCUAUCUUUUAGAUGGAGAUACAAAUAAUUAUGAUAUGGAACGCGGAUAUACUAGACAUACCAUUACUGAAUCACGAGAACAUGGUAUUUUAGUUAAAUUAGGAACUCAGUGCAUCAUCAAUCAUAUUAAAAUGUUGCUUUGGGAUAAAGAUAUGCGUUCAUAUUCUUACUAUGUAGAAGUCUCUAUGGAUCAAAAAAAUUGGGUUCGAGUUAUUGAUUAUACAGAAUAUUUUUGUCGCAGUUGGCAAUAUUUAUAUUUUGAACCAAGAAUAGUUCUUUAUAUUCGUAUUGUUGGAACAAAUAAUACUGUAAACAAAGUUUUUCAUCUUGUAAGUUUUGAAGCAUAUUAUACAAAUCAUACAGAAAAACUUCAUAAUGGUUUUGUUAUUCCAACACGAAAUGUUGCUACCAUGGAUCAAAGUGCAACUGUUACAGAAGGUGUUUGUAGAUCUCGAAAUGCACUAUUAAAUGGUGAUACAUCUAAUUAUGAUUGGGAUAGUGGAUACACAUGUCAUCAAGUUGGAUCUGGUUCUAUUUUAGUACAACUUGGACAACCAUAUAUUAUAGAUUCUAUGCGAGGUAUCUGGUAAUUCUUGGAGUUGGGUUCUAGUUGCUGAUAAAACUAGAGAAGCUUGUCGUUCAUGGCAAACAAUACAUUUUGAACCUGCUCGUCCUGUUGUUUUUAUACGUAUUGUUGGAACACACAAUACUGCAAAUGAGGUUUUUCACUGUGUUCAUUUUGAAUGUCCUGCUCAAGUAAAUGAUAAAAUUGUAAAUAAAUCUAUGGUAAACAAAGGAAAGCAAUCAAAAAGUCAUGAUUCUGUGCUUUGGUCAUAUGUAUCUCAACCUCCAGAAACGGCUACAGAAGCAGUGAAUAUCGAUCAUGAAGAAACAAAUUCAACGGAUGUUUUUUGGGACAAUUAAUUAAUUGAGAAUAAACCAUUGUGUAAAAUUUUGUUGAUACUUCAAAGACUAUAAAAUUAAAUUUUUGUUUGUUCAUUUCUGUAAACUUUCUGUAUUAAAAUGCUUGUAUAGUAGUAGUAAUGAUUGUAUAAAUAAUUGUAAAAUAAAUUUUUAAUUUAAUGAAA
rnacentral:misc_RNA from 1 species